UACGGAGGAUGCGAGCGUUAUCCGGAUUUAUUGGGUUUAAAGGGUGCGUAGGCGGACGCUUAAGUCAGCGGUAAAAUUGCGGGGCUCAACCUCGUCGAGCCGUUGAAACUGGGUGCCUUGAGUGGGCGAGAAGUACGCGGAAUGCGUGGUGUAGCGGGGAAAUGCAUAGAUAUCACGCAGAACUCCGAUUGCGAAGGCAGCGUACCGGCGCCCAACUGACGCUGAAGCACGAAGGCGUGGGUAUCGAACAGG
rnacentral:rRNA from 1 species